GAGGGUGUGACUCCGUGCUAGAGUGCUUGCCUAUUGUGUAUAAGGCCCUGGGUUCAAUACCCAGCAUGCACG
rnacentral:tRNA from 1 species